rnacentral:rRNA from 1 species
UCAAACUGGAGAUGGCGACCGGCGCACGGGUGAGUAACACGUAUCCAACCUGCCGAUAACUCGGGGAUAGCCUUUCGAAAGAAAGAUUAAUACCCGAUGGUAUAAUAAAACCGCAUGGUUUAAUUAUUAAAGAAUUUCGGUUAUCGAUGGGGAUGCGUUCCAUUAGGCAGUUGGUGAGGUAACGGCUCACCAAACCUUCGAUGGAUAGGGGUUCUGAGAGGAAGGUCCCCCACAUUGGAACUGAGACACGGUCCAA